AGUAGUAAGUAUCUCCUUUUCCUGUCCUUUGGCACUCUAACUCACCUAAUAUCCACCUGGGCAUAACUGUGACACCUGAUGAAGAGCAAAACUUGAAUCAUUAUAUACAAGUUUUAGAGAACCUAGUACGAAGUGUUCCCUCUGGGGAGCCAGGUCGUGAGAAAAAAUCUAACUCUCCAAAACAUGUUUAUUCUAUAGCAUCAAAGGGAUCAAAAUUUAAGGAGCUAGUUACACAUGGAGACGCUUCAACUGAGAAUGAUGUUUUAACCAAUCCUAUCAGUGAAGAAACUACAACUUUCCCUACAGGAGGCUUCACACCGGAAAUAGGAAAGAAAAAACACACGGAAAGUACCCCAUUCUGGUCGAUCAAACCAAACAAUGUUUCCAUUGUUUUGCAUGCAGAGGAACCUUAUAUUGAAAAUGAAGAGCCAGAGCCAGAGCCGGAGCCAGCUGCAAAACAAACUG
rnacentral:lncRNA from 1 species